UACGAAGGGGGCGAGCGUUGUUCGGAAUCACUGGGCGUAAAGGGUGCGUAGGCGGGUCUUUAAGUCAGGGGUGAAAUCCUGGAGCUCAACUCCAGAACUGCCUUUGAUACUGAAGAUCUCGAGUCCGGGAGAGGUGAGUGGAACUGCGAGUGUAGAGGUGAAAUUCGUAGAUAUUCGCAAGAACACCAGUGGCGAAGGCGGCUCACUGGCCCGGUACUGACGCUGAGGCACGAAAGCGUGGGGAGCAAACAGG
rnacentral:rRNA from 1 species